UAGUCCACGCCGUAAACGAUGAGUACUAGGUGUUGGCGCAAGCCAGUGCCGGAGUUAACACAUUAAGUACUCCGCCUGGGGAGUACGGUCGCAAGACUGAAACUCAAAGGAAUUGACGGGGGCCCGCACAAGCAGCGGAGCAUGUGGUUUAAUUCGAAGCAACGCGAAGAACCUUACCAGGUCUUGACAUCCUUUGACCACUAUAGAGAUAUAGUUUUCCCUUCGGGGACAAAGUGACAGGUGGUGCAUGGUUGUCGUCAGCUCGUGUCGUGAGAUGUUGGGUUAAGUCCCGCAACGAGCGCAACCCCUAUCCUUGGUUGCUAACAGGUUAAGCUGAGAACUCCAGGGAGACUGCCGGUGACAAACCGGAGGAAGUGGGGACGACGUCAAGUCAUCAUGGCCCUUAUGGGGAUGGGGCUACACACGUGCUACAAUGGGCCAGUACAGAGGGGUUGCGAACUCGCGAGAGUAAGCUAAUCCCAUAAAGCUGGGUCGUAGUCCGGGAUUGGGAGUCUGCAACU
rnacentral:rRNA from 1 species